UCUAAUAUGGCAGAAAUAAUGCAUUGGUCUUAAACCCCAAUUAUAAAGAAUAAUCUUUUUUUAGAA
rnacentral:tRNA from 1 species